CUACGGGAUGCACCAGUGGGGAAUAUUGGACAAUGGGGGAAACCCUGAUCCAGCAAUGCCGCGUGUGUGAAGAAGGCCUGCGGGUUGUAAAGCACUUUCGGUUGGGAGGACUGCUUCUAGCACUAAUAUUGUUGGAAGUUGACGUUACCUUCAGAAGAAGCACCGGCUAACUCCGUGCCAGCAGCCGCGGUAAUACGGAGGGUGCAAGCGUUAAUCGGAAUUACUGGGCGUAAAGCGCGCGUAGGCGGCUAGAUCAGUCGGGUGUGAAAGCCCCGGGCUUAACCUGGGAACUGCAUCCGAUACUGUCUAGCUUGAGUACAGGAGAGGAGAGUGGAAUUCCACAUGUAGCGGUGAAAUGCGUAGAUAUGUGGAGGAACACCAAUGGCGAAGGCAGCUUUCUGGCCUGAUACUGACGCUGAGGUGCGAAAGCGUGGGGAGCAAGCAGGAUUAGAUACCCGUGUAGUC
rnacentral:rRNA from 1 species